UUUUCCAAAGUGGAGGAGAUUGGAUGAUGAGAUGGGUCAUCAUAUUCUUGUGUUUGCAAUCAAGGCACGGAUAGUGACACACACCAGUCCAACAUCUCAGAAGCAACCAAGUGAACAGUUAAAAUUAAAAAUUCAAGUAGUCCAAAUUCGAAGAGGAAGAUCAGAUGGGUGAGGCUUUUCAAUCAGGAUUGGAUCUCAGGCUGUGCUGCACGCAUCCACAGUGGGCCCAUGAUUUUGUUGUCACAUUACAGUUACAGUGGAUGAGAUAUCACAAAUUAGAAUAGCAUGAAAGUGAUGCAACAAUCCUGCCCAUUGAAUUGGAUCACAACAAUCCAAGUCAACAUUGAAGAGAUGGCCAAAGUUGGAGGGAUGCCAUUUUCCAUUCAUGGCUGUAAGUGGGAACCAAACUCCUAAUUGCAAUUCCAUGUGUUUGCACAUGGGACCUGAAGUAUGAGUAAUUACAAUGUCGUAGUUGUUGUAUCAAUCAUUUUCCAGUUAUGGAGAGUUGGGGAAACAAAUAUUGGAAGAAGAGUGCAUCUUCAGUGGGCAAAAUGUACACCACCCUAAUACCUAAGCUCUUCAAUCACAACUAAUUUUGGGCCAUGACCCGUCAUAUCAGUGGUCCUAAAUGCUGGGUGCAUGCGGACAAUACAACAUAUUAUAUUUCAAGUUAUUAGAGAUCGAGUGACAUGAUUACAUGAUGAUUGAAUCAAGGGAGUUGAAACAUGGAAAUUUGUUGCUUGCUCAAGUCAACCACAUAACAUGAAAAUGAGCCAAUUCACUUACCUAAUUCAACAGUAGCGCUGGGAGUUGGGGAAUGUGGUUUUGAUUCUUCUCUUCAUCCUCACAUGACACACUCUACUCCCCAGCACAGUAGCACCCACUCUCCCCCUCUCUCUAAAUAAGAGGUGGUGGGCGGAGGAGGGCCAACAGCCUCUAAUUGGCCACAUGUGGGUGGGAAUCACUAGGGGUAGGGAAAAGUGCACUCAAGGUACAGACCUAAUAGCACCUUUGUUUUGGCCAUGGGAAGUUUAUGCAGAUCAUUUAAUUUCAGUUGAGCUGAGGAUAAAAGAAGCUGACAAUGGAUAGAAGUUUCAUUACUAAUGAACUCUUUUAUUAUUACUAUUAUUAUUAUUGUAAUUCCUUUUAUUAAUUCCAUCGGUAAAUUUUAUUAAUCAUUCUGCGACUUUACUAAUAAUCGAAUCCAAUAAGAUUGGACGACUAUGGGAAGCGAUUGUAACUGAUCCAACUACCUCCAAGGAAAGCUGGCGAGUAAGCCUAACUUAUUUUUUAUUGGACAGUAAUAAGAUUCACCCUAUUUUAGAAGGGAUCAUACAUACAAGACAGCAUAUAAAAUAUACAGAACAGCUCUAGAAAAAGGCUUAUUAACUGACCUUAUUAAUUUUUAUAAUAAGAGAGAAGGAUAACUUCUUUGUUUUGCAUUUUGCAAUAGUCUACUUGUGUAAAUUUGAAGUCAGGUUUUUGGGAUUUCAGCAAUCAAUCGUCCCAAGAAGAUUCUGACUGCAGCCCGAUUACUGUUGUCUCUCUACUAAAAUAAUCAUGAAAUUCACAUCCUUCUCUACUAAAUAAAAAUUGGGAUUUGUCUCCGAUUUGCUCAAUCAUUUCUCAUUUCUCUUUAAGAACAACAUCACGGUUGUAAUCCACAAAUUUCUCUCCUUGCAUGCUAAAGGUCCAACCGUUGAUCUUUCUCAAGACUUGAUAAUGAUAAAGCAUCAUUUUUCUUCAUAUUCUGAUAAGUUUUUAGUGUUUUGGUGGAUUUGGAUUUGUCCAAAAUCCAUGGAUUUAUGGAGGUGUGGGUUUGGGAAAUUCUAUGGAUUUGUCGAAUACCCAAUAAAAAACAAAUGAGAGAAAUUUGAAAGCUGUGGAUUUCACAAAUCCAUCCCUCCAAAAUCUAGAUUACAAUGCCAAUAUUAUAAUGGCCGUCUUAGGUAGGUACGCAUUAAUUAUAUAGUGGUUUGUCCACUCGCUAAAACUAUAAGUGCUUUGCAUUUCCAAUGUCUGUGUCUUUAGGUGGAAUCUGACUUCAUGUGGUUCUUAGCCACAUCUGCAAUUGGGUCCCAACAUGGAUGGUCUAGAUUGACGGACGCACACAUGCAUUGGAUUCGAUGUGCGUUAGGUACCAUUUAACGGACCCCAAAAUUCCAUGGUGAGUCUAGCCCCAAAAGCAGGUCUUGCAACCAUCCCACCCAUCCAAGAAAAGAUUGGAGCAAAGCCUUUAUACCAUGGGCCCAUCUACGAGCCUCCUUAUCAGAUUGAUGGACGGACCUGAUCGAUUGUCUGGGUGGGUAGUCUUGGAUGGUUGAUUACAUUCAACAGUGGUGGCCCAUGCACUCAUGAUCUCAUCUACUAACACCAUGUUUUAUGGCUAAUUGGCUCCAUGAUUGAAGGCAUUGUAGAACUUUUUCAACUCCAAUAGGGGUUACCAGGAAUCCUGCUGUCUGCUAGUGUGUUGGUGGGGCCAAAACUUUCAUAGUUCUAUUUUGACAUUGGAUACCUUUGAUUU